UUUAGACUUGCGGAGAGUCAUUUUUUGAAAGAAAGACAGACACUUUCUGCUAUGGACUUUGGAGGUUGUCAUGGUUUUCAUCAUGACUCAUCCUUCCAGAUGCUCAAGUAACGCAAACAUAAACUAUAUGGAUUGCAACAAGUCAGCUAGAGCAAUGCAGUCUCACAUUUCUGACAGAGGCUGCUCGUUGCUGGAGUGGGAUUGGAAGAAACACUGGGUCACCCUACCUGACACA